rnacentral:lncRNA from 1 species
GCAGCAGUACUGAAAGGUACACAUUGCAACGGAUUACAUAACACGAAACAGACACAAUUUAGUAACUUUACAAUUUAAACCAAGUAUAAUGGUAAGGGAUAGUAACUUUGUGAAUUGAAGAGGAGAAAACUGAUAUACCCAUAUGGUAAUGAUAAGGGAUAGUAACUAAGUAUACCCAGAUGGUAACUUUGUGAAUUGAAGAGGACAAAAACUUAUAUAUCCAGAUGUUAAAAUCUUGUGAAGUUGUUGACUUUUGAUCUGCAGAACAAGAAGGAAUAGCUAAGAGCAAGCCAGCAGGGGCACCUCUAACAUGGGAAGAUCUUGCAAAGAUGAAAUACACAUGGAGAGUAGCCAUGGAAACUCUGAGAAUGGUUUCUCCAGUCUUUGGAGGGUUUAGGAAAGCAUUGAAAGACAUUGAGUAUGGUGGGUACCUUAUUCCCAAAGACUGGCAAGUAAGUGAAAACUCAAUGCUCAAUUUUAUUCUGAUAUGCUUACCUAUCCUUUCUUUUUGCUACAGCAUGCCAAAUCAAUUUGUAGCAUAGCUUCUAAUUGAUACUCCUAAUGCAUGUAUAGAUAUUCUGGGUAACGAACAUGACGCACAUGGAUGAAAACAUAUUCCCUGAACCAUCAAAAUUCGAUCCAACAAGAUUCGAGAACCAAACAUCAGUUCCACCAUAUAGUUUCAUUCCAUUUGGAGGAGGACCCAGGAUUUGUCCAGGAUAUGAGUUUGCAAGGAUCGAGACCCUUGUUUCGAUCCAUUAUCUUAUCAUCCGAUUUACCUGGAAGCUGCUGCUUCCAGAUAAUUCUUUUGGCAGAGAUCCAAUGCCAGUACCGGCUGGGGGCCUACCAGUCAAAAUCAUGCCCAGAAACUUGGACAGUCUUACAGUCUACUGAUAUAUUUACAUUGACGUAAGUCAUGCAAACUACUGGGUACAUAUCAAUAUCCUCCAAGUCUACAGUUUGAUCACCAUGUAUUACAAAGGCGUUGACCAGACAAAUUUACUCUAGAUACUUGCAUAGGAACAUGGACAAAGAAAUUGCUAUGUAUAUUUAGAAAACAGAAGACUCAGCAAGAGUUAACAUGUAUCUCAGAAACCUGAAUUCUUUAAGUGGGAUGUACAUCACAGUGACUCAACAUAGUAUUAAAUCAUGAUGAAGUUUGCAAUUAGAUGAAAGGAGAAAUUGUUGGACGCAAAAACUUGCUGUUUUUGUUUUUGUAAUUUCAAAACAGAGAGAGAAUAAUAUAGCAAUUUAAAUAUGAAUGUGUGGGUCUGCAGUGAGAAAAAAGAGAGCAAAAAAAUGCAGAGAAAAUGCAGAGAAAAAUGCAGAAGAGAAUACAGCAGAGUGAGAGACAGCUUCUGGCAAAGUGAACUCUAUACAUUGUAGUUCAUCAGCCUUACAUAUUUAUAUCAUUUUUAAGGGAAGAUAUUUUGCUACAGCAAAUACAAGCUGUCAGCAAAAAAUUAAGUAAAACCCAUCAUUUUGUCAACCAAAACAAGCAAGAGUUGCUGAUUUUCUUGCUUCAAAAGAUGCUUCCCCAUUCCUUUCAACUACCACUUACUAACUAAAGCAGAAUAAAGAAAAAAUAAUCAUAAUUUCCUGACUUCAGCAAUCACUGUUCAAGAAAAACUCAACUGCUAACAGAAGUAGGGGAUAAUUUUAGGAUACCAUUAUUUUCUCCCCCAAAAUAGAGCUCAAAGUUACAUGUUAGAUACAAUUUCUGCAACGCUAGUAGUUUUGCACCUUGUGAAGACCCUGGAUUCAACAUUAGCCCUGACUCUUUUCUAUUUUGUAGUGGAGAGAAGAAUUAGAAGAGAUGAGAAGGUCUACAACUUCAGAGAGGUGAUAGGAGGACUAUCUGUCGUCUCAGUUGACUUUACCUCCACAUGCUAUAACCACAGACUCGAAGCUAGUUUUCGUGUUUGAAACUGGUGAAGGAUCUGAUACAAGAGAAGAACGAACUUGGCAACAGGUGCUUCUUCCGAAGGCCUUAUCACUUGCAGGCUCAGCAUCUGAAAUGAAAACAACGAAGAAAUGAUCUGAGGAAAUUCUGCAAAUGGGUCAUGCUUAUCUUGGUUGCAGAGAAUGACAGUUCAUUCAUUCUCAUCAAAUCAUGUUAAGGGCUAUGGCUAAUGACCAUGCAAUUUAUGCAGCAGUAGUUCCAAGGAAUGCAUAGUUACCUGCCUGCAGUCUGCAAAUUAUAAAAGCUAGAAUUUUGAAGGACAAGUACCUUGUUAUUCAAAGAACAGAAAAUUGAUAUAUUCAGUCUGACCCAAUCCCAUAAGAGGUUAUAUCAAGGAGAAGAUCUUAUUGCAGACUUUGAUUUCUGAUAUGCAAAACAAGAAGCUUUAGCUAAGAGCAAACCAGCAAGAGCUCCUUAAACAUCGGAAGAUCUUGCAAAGAUGUAUACAUGGAGAGUAGUAAUGAAGACUUUGGGACUGUUCCCUCCAAUCCUUGGUGCUUUAUGAAGGCAUCGGAAGAUAUCGGAAGAAAAUCACUCCUCAAUUUCUCUGCUAUUUUUGGGUUUUCUUUUUAACCUUUUUGUUUACAGACAAAAACUCAUUUUGGAAAUCCCGCUUUGCCACCAUGUUUUUAGCAUAGAUAUUAGCAAGCCUAGAUAAUAACAAAAUAUCUCCCUGAUUUUUGCAGGCAAGACAAACAAGAAGAGACCUACAAAGUCUGCAUAUAUAUACAUAUACGAUUAAGUUUUGUUCCCUUCAGUUCCUUGUCUCUUCUGUUGUAAAAUCAGGAACUAAUCAUUAGUUAAUGCCUCUACAAACACAGAGAAAAGUAACUGUUUUGUAUAAAAAGAAAAAU